rnacentral:tRNA from 1 species
GCCUGGGUGGCUCAGUCAAUUAAGCAUCUGACUUUGAGUCAGGUUGUGAUCUCACAGCUCGUGGGUUCAAGCCCCGCGUCGGGCU